UGCCAUCCAAGGAGCACAGAGGAGCAGAGGUGUGAAUUUGAAGAUGAGCACUCAACAGAACACCAGGAAUCUUCCGAGAGCUCUGGUGAAGACACAUCUGAUUCAGGACCAAAAGGAUGGGAGAAGGUGUCCAAGAAGAAUGGUCAAAAAGGGAAGAAAGGAAUUAUG